UCCCUUGUGGCUCAGCUGGUAAAGAAUCCGCCUGCAAUGCGGGAGACCUGGGUUCGAUCCCUAGGGUGGGAA
rnacentral:tRNA from 1 species